UACAGAGGGGGCAAGCGUUAUUCGGAAUUAUUGGGCGUAAAGGGCGCGUAGGCGGCCUGACAAGUGGAAGGUGAAAUCCCUCGGCUUAACCGAGGAACUGCCCUCCAAACUGUCUGGCUUGAGACCGGGAGAGGUGAGUGGAAUUCCCAGUGUAGCGGUGAAAUGCGUAGAUAUCGUAAGGAAGACCAGUGGCGAAGGCGGGUCUCUGGACAGUUCCUGACGCUGAGGCACGAAGGUCAGGGGAGCAAACGGG
rnacentral:rRNA from 1 species